ACACGUAUCCAACCUGCCGUCUACUCUUGGACAGCCUUCUGAAAGGAAGAUUAAUACGAGAUGGCAUCAUGAGUCCGCAUGUUCACAUGAUUAAAGGUAUUCCGGUAGACGAUGGGGAUGCGUUCCAUUAGAUAGUAGGCGGGGUAACGGCCCACCUAGUCUUCAAUGGAUAGGGGUUCUGAGAGGAAGGUCCCCCACAUUGGAACUGAGACACGGUCCAAACUCCUACGGGAGGCAGCAUG
rnacentral:rRNA from 1 species